UACGUAGGGCGCAAGCGUUGUCCGGAAUUAUUGGGCGUAAAGAGCUCGUAGGUGGUUUGUCGCGUCUGCUGUGAAAACUCGGGGCUUAACCCCGGGCCUGCAGUGGGUACGGGCAGACUAGAGUGCGGUAGGGGAGACUGGAAUUCCUGGUGUAGCGGUGAAAUGCGCAGAUAUCAGGAGGAACACCGGUGGCGAAGGCGGGUCUCUGGGCCGUAACUGACGCUGAGGAGCGAAAGCGUGGGGAGCGAACAGG
rnacentral:rRNA from 1 species